rnacentral:rRNA from 1 species
GACGAACGCUGGCGGCGUGCUUAACACAUGCAAGUCGAACGGAAAGGCCCUGCUUUUGUGGGGUGCUCGAGUGGCGAACGGGUGAGUAACACGUGAGUAACCUGCCCUUGACUUUGGGAUAACUUCAGGAAACUGGGGCUAAUACCGGAUAGGAGCUCCUGCUGCAUGGUGGGGGUUGGAAAGUUUCGGCGGUUGGGGAUGGACUCGCGGCUUAUCAGCUUGUUGGUGGGGUAGUGGCUUACCAAGGCUUUGACGGGUAGCCGGCCUGAGAGGGUGACCGGCCACAUUGGGCCUGCGAUACGGCCCAGUCUCCUACGGGAGGCAGCAGUGGGGAAUCUUGCACAAUGGGCGGACGCCUGAUGCGGCAACGCCGCGUGCGGGAUGACGGCCUUCGGGUUGUAAACCGCUUUCGCCUGUGACGAAGCGUGAGUGACGGUAAUGGGUAAAGAAGCACCGGCUAACUACGUG